rfam:Salinarchaeum sp. Harcht-Bsk1, complete genome.
ACUGCGUGGCUACUAUGCCAUCCGGUGGAUAGCUCGGCUCGAGAGCCGACGAAGGGCGUGCCAAGCUGCGAUAAGCUCGGGGGACCCGCACGGAGGGGAAGAACCCGAGAUACCCGAAUAGGAAUCCUCAUCGCAAUUGCUUUGCGCAAUGGGGAACGCCGUGAACUGAAACAUCUCAGUAACGGCAGGAAGAGAAAUCAAUUACGAGACGUCGUUAGUAAUCGCGAGUGAACGCGACACAGCCCAAACCGAAGCCCUCACGGGCAAUGUGGUGUUGGGUCUGACUCUCAUCGUCAGAAACGGUUCGUGAAGUCUCCUGGAACGGAGCACGAUACAGGGUGAAAGUCCCGUAACGAGCUCGAGUACGACGUGCGUCAGCACCAGAGUAGCGGGGGUUGGAUAUCCCUCGCCAAUAUCCCAGGCAUCGACUGGGAAGGCUAAGUACUCCUCGAGACCGAUAGCGGACAAGUAGCGUGAGCGAACGCUGAAAAGCACCCCAAGAAGGGAGGUGCAAUAGGCCUUGAAAUUGGAUGGCGAUGGAGCGACGGGGCACGAAAGGUCCCCUGUGAAACGACAGUAGUGCGAACUACCAGUAGGAAGCAGGGGAAGCCGGUGUUCCGUCGUACGUUUUGAAAAACGGACCAGGGAGUGUGCUGGAUUGGCGAGUCUAACCCGAGCAUCGGGGAAGGCGUAGGGAAACCGACAUGGCCGCAGCGCUUUGCGCGAGGGCCGCCGUGUUCAAGCGCGGGGAGUCAAUCCGGCACGACCCGAAUCCGGGCGAUCUACGCGUGGGCAGGGUGAAGCGUGCCGAAAGGCACGUGGAGGCCCGCUAGGGUUGGUGUCUUACAAUACCCUCCCGUGAUCCACGUGUAGGGGUGAAAGGCCCAUCGAGCCCGGCAACAGCUGGUUCCAAUCGAAACAUGUCGAAGCAUGACCGUUACCGAGGUAGUCCGUGGGGUAGAGACACUGAUUGGCGGCCCGGACCCCGAGAGGGGUCUGACCGCCUGUCAAACUCCGAACCUACGGACGCUGUCGACGUAGCGAGUCCGGUGUGCGGGGUAAGCCUGUGCACCAUGAGGGAGACAACCCAGAGUCGGGUUAAGGUCCCCAAGUGUGGGUUAAGUGCGAUCGAAGGUGGUCCCGAGCCACAGACAGCCGGGAGGUGAGCUUAGAAGCAGCUACCCUCUAAGAAAAGCGUAACAGCUUACCGGCCGAGGUUCGGGGCGCCCAAAAUGAUCGGGGCUCAAACCCACCACCGAUACCUGACCGUGCCUGUCACAAGGCAACCGUGUAGAUUGGCGCUCCGAUCGGGUGGAAGCUCGGGAUAGAUCUCGAGUGGACCGAUCGGUGACGAAAAUCCUGGUCAUAGUAGCAGCGUUAGUCGGGUGAGAAUCCCGACGGCCUCAAGAGUAAGGGUUCCUCGGCACUGCUUAUCAGCCGAGGGUUAGCCGGCCCUAAGUCCCGUCGCAACUCGAGCGGGACAAACAGGGAAACUGGUUAAUAUUCCAGUGCCGUCGUCCAGUGAAAACCGACGCUUUCGGAUCGACCAAGCCGGGCCUUCGCCCGGUCGAAUCGCCGAAAUCCGUGGAAGCCGUCAUGGCACGAAGCGGAUGAAUAGCGAGAUAGCGCAAGUUGGUUCAACCGAGAGCCCGUGAAAAGGUGAGGACGACGUCCGUACCGAGAUCCGACACAGGUACUCUGGCGGCGAAAGCCAAGGCCUGUCGGGAGCAACCGACGUUAGGGAAUUCGGCAAGUUAGUCCCGUACCUUCGGAAGAAGGGAUGCCUGCCCCGCAACGGGGCAGGCCGCAGUGACUCGGAUGCUCCGACUGUCUACUAACAACAUAGGUGACCGCAAAUCCGCAAGGACUCGUACGGUCACUGAAUCCUGCCCAGUGCAGGUAUCUGAACACCUCGUACAGGAGGACGAAGGACCUGUUAACGGCGGGGGUAACUAUGACCCUCUUAAGGUAGCGUAGUACCUUGCCGCUUCAGUAGCGGCUUGCAUGAAUGGAUUAACGAGAGCAUCACUGUCCCAACGUUGGGCCCGGUGAACUGUACGUUCCAGUGCGGAGUCUGGAGACCCCCAAGGGGAAGCGAAGACCCUAUGGAGCUUUACUGCAGGCUGUCGCUGGGACACGGUCGCUAGUGUGCAGGGUAGGUAGGAGUCACUACACAGGUACGUGCGCCAGCACGCCACCGAGACACACAUGAAACACUACCCACUAGUGACUGUGACCCUCACUCCGGGAGGAGGACACCGGUAGCCGGGCAGUUUGGCUGGGGCGGCACGCGCUUGAAAAGAUAUCGAGCGCGCCCCAAGAUCACCUCACUCGGGUCGGAGACCCGAGGAAGAGCGCAAGAGCACAAGGUGGUCUGACAGUGACCGGCACAACAACGGUCGCUGACGCGAAAGCGUGGUCUAGCGAACCAAUCAAGGUCCUCAAUGGGCCGGAUUGAUGACAGAAAAGCUACCCUAGGGAUAACAGAGUCGUCACUCGCAAGAGCUCAUAUCGACCGAGUGGCUUGCUACCUCGAUGUCGGUUCCCUCCAUCCUGCCCGUGCAGAAGCGGGCAAGGGUGAGGUUGUUCGCCUAUUAAAGGAGGUCGUGAGCUGGGUUUAGACCGUCGUGAGACAGGUCGGCUGCUAUCUAUUGGGGGUGUUUUGGUGUCUGACGGGAACGAUCGUAUAGUACGAGAGGAACUACGAUCGGUUGCCACUGGUGUACCGGUCGUCCGACAGGGCGAGUGCCGGGCAGCUACGCAACACGGGGUAAGGGCUGAACGCAUCUAAGCCCGAAACCCACCUGGAAAAGAGACACCGUUGAGAUCUCCCGUAUAAUACGGGGUCGAUAGAGACGGGGUGUACGCGCCGAGGCAACGAGGCGUUGAGCCCGCGUCCACUAACAGAUCGAAGCCACACAUU